ensembl:lncRNA
GGGGAGUCAACUCUUUGAAAGGGUAUAUAACAGCAGAACAAGGGGAAAUGGUUUUAAGUUGAAGGAGGGAAGAUUUAGGUUGGAUGUCAGGGGGACAUUCUUUACUGUGAGAGUGGUGAGGUGCUGAAACAGCUGCCCAGGGAGGCUGUGUAUGCCCCGUCCAUCCCUGGAGCUGUUCAAGACCAGGUUGGAUGGGGCUCUGGGCAGCCUGGGCUGGUAUUAAGUGUGGAGGUUGGUGGCCCUGAUUGCCGCAGCGGGGUUGAAGCUUCAUGAUCCUUGAGGUCCCUUCCAGCCCCACCAUUCUGUGUCAUCUGUGUGAGUUCACUUCAGCAUACACACCCUCACACACACCCUCACACACCCACACACACACACACACACACACAGGCACCCAUAGUAGAUAAUCCCAGUAAGCGAGAAGCAGAAACUCCCUAAGCAAGCGCGCUAUUACUUACCAACCACUGAGAGAUGGCAAAAGGCUGAAAAGGAGAGAAAAGGACCAUGCUGGUGUUGGAUGCCAGCAGGGCAUCAAAUGCUUCAAAGGGCACUUCUCCUCUCUCCCCCAAUGGUUUUCCCAGGGUCUGCAGGCUUUUUUCCACUUCAACACCGUACCCGUGUGGCUGACACAUGAUGCCUGUAGUGACAGAAAGACAGGGUGGUCUUAACUAUGACGGGAGAUGUUUGAGUUAUUGGCUCUGUCACCUGUAAUGCAGAAUAAGCAGUCAAUAACUGCUUUGCAAUCAUACCGUACCUUUCCUCUGCUCUGUGCCAAACUUAAGACCAGAACCCAACUGGGGUUCAAACAGAAUUUUGGCACUGCCAUAGAUGCUAGCCAAACCCAUCUUGAGUUGCAUGCAUCUAGUUUAGCUGUAAGGGUAGGAUCGAAUAUUACCCAGUGCCUGGGCCUGUUUAGCAGCUAAGUUGGCUUCCUGGAAUGCCUCUUCUUCUGUUCUUCUCCAGUCCCGUUUUUGGCCUUUCUUUGUGAGCCACUACAAAGGCCUCAGCAGCUGCGCUAGCAUCUCUGUUUCGUAACAGGUAUCCAUGUAUUUUCUCUUAGAUGCCAUAUACCAGAUUGACUUCUCCCUGGCAGUGACUGGCAUUUAGGGAGGAGUUAAAAAUUACUUCCUUCCCCCGCUUCAGCUUCAGUUCCUCCAGCAUGAACACAUAUAGACUAGGGCUUCAAAGGCUCCAGCAACAUUUCCAGAUGUCCUAGACACCACGUGGGUGUUAGUAAAACAAGGAGGACCAAAGAAGAGGUACCUAUCACUGAUAUAUUACUAUAUAUACUAUAUAUAUAUAUAUAUAUUGAUCGCUUCUUAUGCAAGUUUAUUGUUUACAGUUUUCACAUCAACUUAAACAUUCUUCAGUUAUCUGAAUGUAUGUAUGUAGGCAUUAUGUUACAAACUUUCCUUUUCUGAAGGAAACAUAAAUGUACAUAGAAAACCAUCAAGGCUGCAGACCCAAGCACUCAAAACCCAGGCGUACAGCAAACAAGUAAACAGAUUGUAAGGCAAAUAGGUAUACGGGUACAGGACCAGAGAGAUUACCACAUUACAAAGGCAUGAUGAAAUAAAGAGCUUACCCUGGUCGUGGGCUCACCAAAGGGCUCCAAGAGUCAGCCCUUACAUGGGGUCUUCCGGUCACUCAGGUGAAACUGUGUUCAACUGUGUCCUCUGCGGCUGACUCAGUGCUCGCCUCAGGUGGUCAAUCUGAGGUUCAGGCCACGAUUCAACAGUUGCCAUACACCGGGAAACGCCAGAAUUAAGUUGGCAUGGCAAAAGAAAAUAUUUUUCUCUUAAUUUCAUUCCCAGAAAUGGUGAAACCAUUUCUUUGUUUAAGCUUUCCAAACCAAUUCAUCUGAAGCAGACAUUCAGCAUGAAAAGUUUCAGCCCAAACAACUGAAACCUGACAAAGUUAGAUGCCACUGAAAAAAGGGUCUUAUCAUGGGAAACGUGAGGCAAGCUUAAUUCCAGGCAGCACUACCAGCAUCAUUUAAAACACAGUUACAAUCAAAAUUUCAUCCUGACUUUACCUUGUAUGUUUAGCUAUAUACUGUCGAGAAGGAUUUCAAACUGCCUACCUUUCUUACUGUGUUGGAGGCCCGGGGUCUUUGGCAGACUUGAUCAAAACUACAACACAGCUACUUACAUCAGGCAUCAGAAAGAGAAGCCAUUACUCAAAACAACCAUCUCAGAUGCAUGACACAAAGAAGAGGAAGCCACGAGUUUUCAGAGGGUCUCAGUACUCACAGAAGUUUCUACAGGUUCCAGUUCUUUGCAUACCUCAAUUAAAUGCUAACUGCUCUGUUGAAAUUAGCAGGUCUGCUUGAUGAUUACUGCCUGGCAUUUCACUAGGAAGUUAACUAGAUUCAAAACAUACCAUUUGCUGUGCUGCUGUCCAGGGCUGCCAUCGUCACCAGACUGCUCUGCAUUCUCACUGGCCCAGCUUCCUCUGUAGGCUCCUGCUGCACACACACUGCAUUCAGCUCCUAUUUUUGAUGCAGUCUAUAAAUUUAAACAUUAGUUUGCAACGCUGCACUGACAGCCAGGUACCGAAUCACAAUCUCCAAUCAAUCAAUUUUCACCCAGAGGGUGGUGACACACCAAACAGGUUGCCCAAGGAGGUUGUGGAUGCCCCAUCGCUGGAGACACUCAAGGCCAGGCUGGAUGUGGCUCUGGGCAGCCUGGUCUGGUGGUUGGCGAUCCUGCACACAGCAGGGGUUGGAACUGGAUCAUCACUGUGGUCCUUUUUGACCCAGGCCAUUCUAUGACUCAACAUUUCACGGAUGACAAAGAGACGGAGGCACCAACCACAUCUCUGGGCAACCUGUUCCAAGGCCUCACCACCCCCACUGUAAAAGACUUUCCCUUACAUCCAAGCAAAGAUACAUAGGCAUCAAACCAAGCAUCAUAUGCAUCGAGAAAACAAUCUAAGGCUGCCCUCAAGAGCUAAACAUCACAGGUUUUACAGUGCCGUUUUUUCAGUGUUUUGGAUUUCAAACUGAUGUUGAGGUUUUAAACUUUGUGUGCGACAUUCUCAUGAAAAGAACCGAGAAAUAACUCCACGUAGAGCACCCAGCUCCACACUGUGUCUAAAUACAGCUGCACCCACUGCAGGAAGCUGCUGGGAUCAGCAGCACGUAAGCACAUCCUACUGGCUUCACUUCAGCCACCAAACCUUGGCUCAGAUUUGUACUUGGCACUGAGGUGCUCAGCUGCAGCAGCACACACGUAGGAGAAAGAAGGCACAUCUGUUCUCAUAAUGAGUAAGUUUCUCUACCUUAAAUGAUGAACUGCAGUACACUUCUGUGUUGCUCUGUGUUGUCUGAAUCGCUGUGGGCCAAUGCAGCAGAAACACAAGCAGCUGGUCACAGAAAUGCUGUGCUUUCAGACUGAAAUACUGCUAUUCUGACAAAGGCUACAUCCAGUCUGCCGCCAGGCUCAGAGUACCCACUUCAUCUCCAGCUACACGUUAAGUAAGUUGUUCCUAGUACUUUCCGGGCUUGCACGCCGAUAUACAAGAACCAUAUGUAAGGCUCUUCCCUUGGUCGACACACACACACACACACAGCUAUGACCAUCUCUCCUGGAAACCUGGGCCAUAAACCCAGCUGCCUCACCGCUGCCCUCCCUCACAGACGGCCGCAGUGCCUCCCAGCGCCGCGCCAGCAGACCCGGGAAGCCGAGCCGAGCCGAGCCGAGCCGAGCCGAG